CAUCACUCCUUUCAUUCAUCCCUUUACUAACCUGAAGAACUGACCUGAGCAGAGCAGCUGUUGUUCCCACUCCACGCCAAGAUGAAUAAGAUGUGCUUAGCUUACCUUGUGGCUCUUCUAGUCGUUCUCCAUCUCGUCUCAAUACAGGUGGUGCAGGCCCAGACCACCAAACCUCCCACCACGACCCCGACUACCACGAAGGCCAACAUGACUACUACCGCGAACAAGACCACCACAUUUAACGGCUGCGGGAGGACCGACGCCUUCACGCUGCUGCUGCUCCCGCUGGCGGUUGCAUCCUCUCUCCUCAGUUGGACCUAAAUAACCGGACUGGUCGCUCUUCGUCCACUUGUCAACACGGCUGGGCUGGGCACGCAACGUUAUUCUACGAGCAGUUCUUUUGAAGUCCCUUCUCUUCCCAACACCCUUUUUUGGAUUACACCAAAUACUUUCUGUAGCCCAGAGCGCGUCUCCGUUUUUACGCACCAACCAGAGACUAUGUUACGUCCUGUUCUCUACGAGGACUAUAUGAAAGUUUCCGUUGUCGGGCAAAACACCGGUCUCGGUUUCUUGUAUGGGGUGAAUAAUAUUUGUAUAGGCUAAUACUUGUAGCAGGUAUAACUCUUAUGCCCACUUAAAAAUACAAGUUCAAAUUCUGGAAGUGUGAAAAUUUGUUUUUAAAUCAAAUAAAGUUUUGAAUAUGUGACCACA